UGUUUUUUAAUUAAAAACUAGAAAUGAAAGGUUAUACAUUCAAAUUUCUUUAUUAAUUUUUAAUAUAUAAUUUAUUUUAAAUAUAAAAAUAUAUUUACAUAAAAAAAAGACGACAAGACCCUAUUAAAUUUUACUUAUAGUUUAGCUGGGGAAGCUUUUCAAUUAAAAUUUUUUAAAAAAAAAUAAAAAAAUCUAAAAAAUUUAAAUUUUAAUAAAUUACUAUAGGGAUAACAGCAUUAUAUUUUUUAAAAGUUCAUAUUAAAAAAAAUGAUUGUGACCUCGAUGUUGAAUUAUAUUUCUAUAUUUAAUGCAAUAAUUAUAUAAGUAGAUCUGUUCGAUCUUUAAAAUAUUACAUGAUUUGAGUUCAAACCGGUGUAAACCAGGUUGGUUUCUAUCUUUUUAUUUAUUUUUCUAGUACGAAAGGACAAAAAAAUUUUUAUUUUUAUAAAUUAGCAAAUAAAUGCAUUAGAUUUAGAAUCUAAAUAUAUUUAAUA
rnacentral:rRNA from 1 species